rnacentral:rRNA from 1 species
GACGAACGCUGGCGGCGUGCUUAACACAUGCAAGUCGAACGGAAAGGCGCGGCUUUUGCGGCGCGCUCGUUUGCCGAACGCGUGAGUAUAACGUGAGUAACCUGUCCCUGACUUUGGGAUAACUCUAGGAAACUGGGGCUCAUACCCGAUAGGAUCUCCUGAUGCACGGUGUGGGUUGGAAAGUGUCGGCGUUGGGGGAUGGUCUCGCUGGUUAUCGGCUGCUUUGUCGGGUAGUGGCUUACCAGGGGUUUGAAGGGUAGCCUGCCUGGGCGGGUGGACGGGCACAUUGGGACUGAGAUACGGCCCAGAAUCCUACGGGAGGCAGAAGUGGGGAAUAUUGCACAAUGGGCGGAAGCCUGAUGCAGCAACGCCGCGUGCGGGAUGACGGCCUUCGGGUUGUAAACCGCUGUCGCCUGUGACGAAGCGUGAGUGACGGUAAUGGGUAAAGAAGCACCGGCUAACUACGUG